rnacentral:rRNA from 1 species
AAAGGAAUAGACGGGGGCCCGCACAAGCGGUGGAGCAUGUGGUUUAAUUCGAUGCAACGCGAAGAACCUUACCAGGUCUUGACAUCCUUAGAAUCCUGUAGAAAUAUGGGAGUGCCCGCGAGGGAGCUAGGAGACAGGUGGUGCAUGGUUGUCGUCAGCUCGUGUCGUGAGAUGUUGGGUUAAGUCCCGCAACGAGCGCAACCCUUGCUAUUAGUUGCUAACAAGUAAAGUUGAGCACUCUAAUGGGACUGCCGGUGACAAGCCGGAGGAAGGUGGGGAUGACGUCAAAUCAUCAUGCCCUUUAUGAUCUGGGCUACACACGUGCUACAAUGGGCGGUACAAAGAGAAGCGAAGCCGCGAGGCGGAGCAAAUCUCAGAAAGCCGUUCUCAGUUCGGAUUGUAGCCUGCAACUCGGCUACAUGAAGUCGGAAUCGCUAGUAAUCGCGGAUCAGAAUGUCGCGGUGAAUGCGUUCCCGGGCCUUGUACACACCGCCCGU